GACGAACGCUGGCGGCGUGCUUAACACAUGCAAGUCGUACGGUAAGGCCCUUUCGGGGGUACACGAGUGGCGAACGGGUGCGUAACACGUGAGUAACCUGCCCACAACUUUGGGAUAACGCUAGGAAACUGGUGCUAAUACUGGAUAUGUGCUCCUGCUGCAUGGUGGGGGUUGGAAAGCUCCGGCGGUUGUGGAUGGACUCGCGGCCUAUCAGCUUGUUGGUGGGGUAGUGGCCUACCAAGGCGGCGACGGGUAGCCGGCCUGAGAGGGUGACCGGCCACAUUGGGACUGAGAUACGGCCCAGACGCCUACGGGAGGCAGCAGUGGGGAAUAUUGCACAAUGGGCGCAAGCCUGAUGCAGCAACGCCGCGUGCGGGAUGACGGCCUUCGGGUUGUAAACCGCUUUCAGCAGGGACGAAGCUUUUUGUGACGGUACCUGCAGAAGAAGCACCGGCUAACUACGUG
rnacentral:rRNA from 1 species